GAGGGAUAUUUUUUAGGAUGGCUAAUAAUGAAGAGACAGGUAGCCCAGGUUGGGGUGCUUCGUUUGAAGAUGUUGCAAGAGCUGUUGCUGCUGCGGCUGCUGCUGCCACUGCUGCUCGUUCACCACGGCCAUCUGUGGUAUUUUCGUCGAAAGAUGAUAAUGGUGGUAGCCCAAUACAAAAACUGCAGCGCCAAGUUGCUAGAGUGCUAAAAGGAUUCUCACAGCCAUCUGAAGUGAAAAGUGCAACAUACAAUCCAGAAGUUCUGACUAGCCAAAAACGCCAAUGGGCAAGCUUUCAGUUGCAAUACUUGGAUCAUAGGUCUUUAAAGGAGCCAACAAAACUUUUUGAGAGCAUGGUAGUUGUAGGGCUUCAUCCUAACUGUGAUAUUCAAGCACUUCAUAGGCAAUACAUUGCCAGAAAGUCUGAAGGUUCUGGAAGAUUGCGAAGUGCGCUAAGUUCUCAGAAUCAAUCGCGUGUAGAACCCAACAUUGAACCUCAGGUCUUAUUUGUUUACCCUCCAGAAAAGCAGCUGCCUCUUAAAUACAAAGAUCUUCUUUCAUUUUGCUUCCCUGGAGGCUUGGAGGUUCAUUCCGUUGAGAGAAGUCCUUCCAUGAGUGAGUUGAAUGAAAUUCUUCUUGGGCAGGAACACUUCAAACAAAGUGAUCUCUCCUUUGUAUUCCGGUUACAGGUAGCUGAUGAUUCAACAAUGUACGGAUGCUGUGUGUUAGUUGAAGAACUAGUACAAAAGCCCUCUGGAUUGCUUUCCAUGAUUUCAGAUAAACCACCUUCCUGCCCAUCUUUAAGCCGUCAUAUAUUAACCACACGGAGAUGUUAUUGCAUUCUCUCAAGGCUUCCAUUCUUUGAAUUGCAUUUUGGUGUAUUGAAUAGCAUAUUCACAGAAGAAAGGUUGGAACGGUUAACAAAAGAUAUUGGUAUUUUGAAUUUUGAGUCCCCUGAGGAUUGUAGGAAGGAAGAAAACUUUGAAGAAAAUACAGAUGAAAAUUCAGAUGGUGUAUCACCGAAUCAUAGAGUUGCAGAGGACAUGCUGAAUGGAACUGCUGAAACUUCCGAAUUAAGUUUAAGAGAGUCUAAGCCUGAAAGAGUUUCAGAUGAUGGGAGUCACGAAGAUCGUCAAAUGCUUGAUGGGGACCUUUGUUUGCUGAAGAAAGGUGUCAAUGAUAAUGGUGUUCCUGUAGAUCCUGAUUCUGAGAUGGUGACAGUGAAAAGAGAAUCUAGUGCUGCAAAUUCUGAAGAUUGUUAUAUCAACGCUGAUGAUUGCUCAACAAACAAGCAAGUGGUAGAAAAGCGUUUACCAAAUGCUGUCCUGCCACUCCUGCGGCAUUAUCAGUCUGAAAGCUCUGAAUCUUCCUCUAGUUUUCAGGGUUCUCCUAGUGACGAAAGAAAUUUUAGAAGUGAUGUUGAUGAUACGGAGACAGAAGAGGCAUCUUUCUCUGGCCAGGAGGAUCCCAGUGACCUCAUUGAUAUUCUUGAAUGGGCUAAGGCAAACAACCAUGGAUCAUUACAGAUAAUAUGCGAGUAUUAUCGGUUACAGUUCCCUGCAAGGGGUUCAACACUAAGGUUUUGGCCUUUGGAGCACCUGCAUCCUUUGGAAUAUCACAGACCAGAUGAAACAGUUUUACAUAUUGGUGGCUCAACUAUUGAUUUGAGAUCAUGCAGUACAAGUCUGGAGUUUGCUGAGGCUCACAGUGCGCUUUUGGUGGAGGAGGAAGCAACUGCAUUAUCAGUUUGGGCUGUUGCAUGCAUAUGUGGCUCCUUACGACUUGAGAAUGUCUUGACAUUGGUUGCAGGAGCUCUACUGGAGAAGCAUAUUGUGGUUGUUUGUUCCAAUCUGGGAAUCUUAUCAGCCUCAGUUUUGUCCAUUAUCCCUCUAAUCCGUCCCUACCAGUGGCAAAGCCUGCUAAUGCCGGUUUUACCAAAUGACAUGCUGGACUUUUUGGAUGCACCUGUCCCGUACAUUGUGGGUGUGAAGAACAAAACCAAUGAAGUACAGUCAAAGUUGACUAAUGUCAUUUUGGUUGAUGUCAACAAGAACCAGGUGAAGUCACCGUCAAUACCUCAACUGCCACAACAAAAGGAGUUAUUUUCCUCCUUACGUCCUUAUCAUGCAAAACUUGUAGGAGAAAGUUAUUUGGGGAGGAAACGGCCAGUGUACGAAUGCACAGAUGUGCAGGUCGAAGCAGCCAAGGGUUUCCUAGCAGUACUAAGGUCUUACUUGGAUUCUCUUUGCUCUAAGCUCCGUUCACAUACAAUUACAAAUGUACAGUCCAAUGAUGAUAAGGUAUCAUUGCUUUUGAAGGAGAGUUUCAUCGACUCAUUCCCUAGUCGUGAUCGUCCAUUUAUGAAGCUUUUCGUGGACACGCAACUCUUUUCUGUACAUACAGAUCUCGUUCUCUCAUUCUUCCAGAAGGAAUAAUGCUGCCAUGCUAGAUUGGCCUGGAGUUUGUAGCAUUUUGUUGUAAAUUGAAGACCAUUUGUCAAAGCAAGCUCGUGUACAUUCACUUUCUAAGCAGCAUAGUGUAUUGACCCAUCAGUAUCCUCCCUUGAACGGUCACAUUCAAGAGUGAUGUUACACACUUUCUGUCGUGGUUUUUAAAAUUAUUAUUAGUAAUGAUUUUAUAAGUUAGAGAGUGCGGGAGUAGGUGUGUAGUAUUACUCUUCUUUUAAGGGACAAUUUUUCAUCAAAAAGACAAAUUUCUAACCUAAUCUAUUAAAUUGACCACCGACUCUAGAACGUGUGCUUUUUACAUGCAUUUUUAAUGAAGCAUAUGAAUCUACAUGAAAAUCACAUGAUCUAGGGACAUGUUAGUUUGGAGUAAUACUAUUUAGUGGACGGAUAUAUGAUUGUUAUAUAAUUUGGAUGAU